AAUACAUGAUUCAACUGAGUAAAAAUACCAGCACUGUGAUCAUCAGAGCAAGUCCAUCAGGUGACAUUCUUUUUCACCUCUGUCUCCUUUCACUUUGAAGGUUCCCAUGUUUGAGGAAGCAUUUGGUGUUGCUGUGCAAAGUGUUGCUGCAGUGGAGGUUCAAGGUUACUGUUUAUUGAUAUGGAUCCCAUCAUACUUUGUUCAUUGUUUGUUCAGGAGUUUGCCCUAAGUCUCCGUGUUUGAGGGCCUAUUCUGUGGAUAUAUUUAUUUGCAC